CUGGUGGAUCCCAAGUUAAAAAACAGUCUAAACAAGUAAACUUGGUUGUCACAAGCUUAAACAGAAACUUUUCAGAGAAUUUAUCUGCUAAUGUCCUGGACAAUAUAACUGGAGACACACCCGCUUUUAACUGGGCAGACUUGAAAGCAAAGUGGCCCCAUUUGGCUUCCAUUUCCUUUGAGCAAACUUCAAGACGAAAGCAGAUAGAUGUGUUGAUAGGCAGCGAUCACCCAUUGUUUCACCAUGUUCUGAAGGAAGUGCACGGUAGUAAAACUACAGACCCAAUAGCAAGACUUACCAAUUUAGGUUGGGUUUGCUUUGGGCCUACCAUCGUUGAGGAACACCGGCGUAAAUCGCGUUCAUAUUUUACACGUACUUACCGUUCAAGCCAGGUUGAGCAGCCAACCGUUCAGCAACAAGACCACCAGCUCCGACAAUUCUGGGAGCUUGAAGCUCUGGGAAUCAAGGACACUGACGACAGAACCUUUGAUGAGAAAGAAGCAGUAGUCAAGGUAACAGAGAGUACAAUUUAUGACAAGGGAAGAUAUUCUGUGGGAAUCCCUUGGAAGAAAGAAGAACCAAACUUGAACAAUAACUAUGAUAUGGCGUUAAUAAGACUUAAGAGGCAGGAGAAAGCGCUCAAAAGAAAAGGCUCCGAAGCAACGCACACAUAUAACAAGAUAAUUGAAGAUUACGAGAAGAAGGGUUAUGUGAAGAAGAUAGAAAAGACCAAUGAAAUAAACCAAUGGUUUUUGCCACAUUUUGCUGUAAUCAAGGAAGAAAGAACCACUACAAAGACACGAAUUGUAUUUGAUGCUGCAGCAAAAGAUCGUGGCAAAAGUUUAAAUGACGCAAUUCGAGCUGGUCCUAAGCUUCAAAAGGACUUAUUGAACGUUCUGAUACGAUUCAGACGCUCCCCUAUCGCCUUAUCAGGAGAUAUUUCAGAGAUGUUCUUACAAGUAGGCUUGUUGAAAGAUGAUCGGGCUUAUCAUCGAUUUCUUUGGCGUAAUUUAGACGCAUCCCGAGAACCUGAUGUGUACGAAUUCCAACGGCUAGUGUUUGGCAACACAGCGUCACCAUUUUGUGCACAAUUCAUCGUCCAGAAACAUGCGGAGGAUAAAGCAGAACAUUAUCCCGAAGCUGCAGACACGGUUUGCAACUCCAUGUACGUAGACGACGUUCUAGAUUCAUGCGAGACUUCCAAAGAUGCCAUAGAAUUAAGGAGACAACUUUCAGAGUUGUUGAAUUCGGCGAGUUUCCGACUUCGAAAGUGGUCAUCGAAUGACAAGUCAGUACUAGAAGACGUGCCAGAGGAAGAUCGACAACCCGGAUUAGAGAUACGCGAAGAUGGACGCCCAACAGGAAAAGUGAAGACCCUCGGAGUGACAUGGAAAUCCGAAAACGAUGUAUUCACAUUCAACGUGGAAAUACCAGAGAUCAAGGAGAUAACCACGAAGAGAGAAGUAUUAAGCGCAAUUUCAACUCUGUUUGAUCCUCUUCAAUUUCUUUCACCUUUUACAGUAAGAGCCAAAAUCCUUAUGCAGGACAUAUGGACUGCUGGGCUAGAUUGGGAUGAUCCACUACCGAGGACCCUAUUAGACCGUUGGCAUAACUGGGUGAACGAGUUACAACACCUUUCCUCCUUUGAGAUUCCACGAUGUUUGCGACAUCCCUCCCCUGAUGAAAUAGAAUUACAUAUGUUCUCUGAUGCUUCAAAGGAUGCCUAUGCAGCUUGUGCUUAUCUCGUUUGUCGUUAUGAAGGAAACACACCAACAUCAGUAUUGAUUGCAUCGAAGAGUCGAGUUGCACCAGUUAAAUCGAUGACUAUUCCUAGACUUGAGUUGAUGGGAGCGGUUAUUUCAACUCGUUUGGCAAAUACCAUACUCAAGUCAAUUGUAGUAUCCAAAGUGAUUUACUGGACAGAUUCUACGAACGUUCUAUAUUGGGUGAGAAACCAGAGUCGCAAUUUCAAAACCUUCAUCGCCAACAGAAUCGGGGAAAUCCAAAAUUCGACAAACCCAGAACAGUGGAGACAUGUCCCGGGAGAACUCAACCCCGCUGAUUUGGCAACUCGAGGAAUAAAGGUUUCUGAGCUAGCAUAGAGCAGAGUAUGGAAAGAAGGACCACAGUUCGUUUUAGAAAAUGAGACAAAUUGGCCUGCACGCGUACCUGGAAUGGAUACAUUAUCAAGUGACACGAAAGAAGAGUGUAAAAUGGUGCGAACAAAUGCCACUCAAGCAUUGGACAGUAACGAAUUGAAUCCACAGAACUUUUCAGAUUUCAGACGACUUGUUCGUGUAACAGCAUGGGUACGGCGUUUUACGAGCAACUGCAAAUGUCGACCAGAGCAAAGAGAUCUAAGCAAAAGUUUAUCGAUUGGAGAAGUAAAGAAAGCAGAAUUUUAUUGGUUCAAACGUGCACAAACAGAAAGGUUUCAAGACACUAAAGGACGGAAAAGUCUGGAGAACUUGAAUCCCAUGAAAGACGAGGAUGGACUUCUUCGUAUAGACGGACGCUUACGCCAUGCAGACAUACCGUACGAAAGUAAACACCCAGUGAUUUUACCCAAAGAACACCCUAUCACGGAACUUGUAGUAAGAGCGGUUCAUGAACAACUCGGACAUGGUUCUGGAGUAGAACACACUCUUUCCGAAUUACGUAGUAGGUUUUGGGUGAUAAGAGGACGGGCUGUAGUACGUAAAAUUCUUAAUCAUUGCCAAGUGUGUAAGAAACGCUUUACUGCUAAACCUAUUGGUCAAAUGAUGGCACCGCUGCCGAGACCAAGAGUAAUUUCAUCGAUGAAAGCCUUUUGUCGAGUAGGAGUAGACUACGGAGGCCCAUACCUGACAAAACAAGGUCGCGGCAAGAGUAGAGCAAAAAGAUAUCUCUGUUUAUUUACUUGUCUCGUGACACGCGCGGUACAUUUGGAAAUGGCCUAUGCAUUAGACACAGAUUCGUUUAUGAAUGCAUUCGCCCGGAUGGUGUCACGGAGGGGGACGCCUUCGUACGUUUUAUCAGAUAACGGUACCAACUUCGUUUCAGGAGAACGAGAACUGAGAGAACUUGUUGAACAAUUAGACCAAGAGAAGAUUGUUCGGGACAGUUCGCGAUUCUCUCACAUCGAAUGGCAUUUCAACCCUCCAGCUAGCCCACAUUUCGGUGGAGUAUUUGAAGCCAUGAUAAAAAGUGCCAAGAAAGCUAUAAAGGGUAUCUUAGGAAAUGCGGACGUCUCCGAUGAAGAGCUACAUACAGCCAUUUGUGGGGCGGAGAAGUUAUUGAACUCGAGGCCUAUCACGUACGUAAGUUCGGAUUCCAACGACUUAUGUCCUCUCACUCCCAAUCAUUUCAUCCACGGACAGCUUGGAGGAACAUUUGCGGUGGAGGCAAUUGAGGAAGAAACGUUCAACCCCCGCAAAAGAUGGCAUCGUGUUCAACAACUAAUCGGUCAAGUUUGGAAACGUUGGAGAAGGGAAUUGCUCCCGACUUUAAAUCGUAGAAAGAAGUGGUUUCAUCCCACACGUAAUAUGAAGGAAGGAGAUAUUGUUUUAAUGAUUGAGCCAAAUGCAAAUCGCUGUG